rnacentral:rRNA from 1 species
AUUGAACGCUGGCGGCAUGCUUUACACAUGCAAGUCGAGCGGCAGCGCGGGGGCAACCUUGGCGGCGAGCGGCGAACGGGUGAGUAAUACAUCGGAACGUGUCCCGUAGUGGGGGAUAACCCGGCGAAAGCCGGACUAAUACCGCAUAUGCUCUACGGAGGAAAGUGGGGGACUCGCAAGAACCUCACGCUAUGGGAGCGGCCGAUGUCCGAUUAGCUUGUUGGCGGGGAAAGGCCCACCAAGGCGACGAUCGGUAGCUGGUCUGAGAGGGUGUACGGCCACACUGGAACUUAGACACGGUCCAGACUCCUACGGGAGGCAGCAGUGAGGAAUCUUGCGCAAUGGGCGAAAGCCUGACGCAGCGACGCCGCGUGGAGGAUGAAGGUCUUUGGAUUGUAAACUCCUGUUAAGU